UACAGUAGAAGUCUGGAGUAGAUCGCUUGCAGUAGAAGUUCGAAGUAGACUGCUUACGGUAGAAGUUCAGAGUAGACCGCUUGCAGUAGAAGUUCGACUGAGAUUUGGAAGGUGAUCGAUCACCGUAGAAACUUGGAUGGGGUCUGAUUACUGUAGAAGUCCUACUGCUGGAGAAGCUCGAUCAUUGACGAAGUCCGAAAGAAGUUUGGAGUAAAGUCGAUCGUGGCUGGAAGAAGUCCGGAAGAAAUUCAGAGAGUAGUCGAUCACUGUAGAAAAUCGAUUGGUAGUGAAGCUCGGAGAGCAUUUGGAGCAGCCCGGUAGAUGAAUGGAGGAGCUCAUUAUUGGAGAAGUUCGGAUGGCACGAUAGGAGUUCGUCCAUUGGAGGAAUCUUGAGGACACUGUGGAAGGUCAAACGUUGGAGGAGCCCGGAUGGUACUAUGGAAGCUCGGAUAGCCGGGGGGGUUCAAAAAGAUGCCGCAC
rnacentral:lncRNA from 1 species